rnacentral:rRNA from 1 species
GACGAACCGUGCGAACGUUGUUCGGAAUCACUGGGCUUAAAGGGCGCGUAGGCGGGCCACCCAGUCCGGGGUGAAAGCUUUCGGCUCAACCGGAAAAGGGCCUCGGAGACGAGUGGCCUGGAGGGAGGUAGGGGUCCGCGGAACUGCUGGUGGAGCGGUGAAAUGCGUUGAUAUCAGCAGGAACGCCGGUGGCGAAAGCGGCGGACUGGACCUCUUCUGACGCUGAGGCGCGAAAGCCAGGGGAGCGAACGGG